GGCCGCGGGAAUUCGAUUCAGGCCUAACACAUGCAAGUCGAGCGGUAGAGAGAAGCUUGCUUCUCUUGAGAGCGGCGGACGGGUGAGUAAUACCUAGGAAUCUGCCUGAUUGUGGGGGAUAACGUUCGGAAACGGACGCUAAUACCGCAUACGUCCUACGGGAGAAAGCAGGGGACCUUCGGGCCUUGCGCUAUCAGAUGAGCCUAGGUCGGAUUAGCUAGUUGGUGAGGUAAUGGCUCACCAAGGCUACGAUCCGUAACUGGUCUGAGAGGAUGAUCAGUCACACUGGAACUGAGACACGGUCCAGACUCCUACGGGAGGCAGCAGUGGGGAAUAUUGGACAAUGGGCGAAAGCCUGAUCCAGACGUGCCGCGUGUGUGAAGAAGGUCUUCGGAUUGUAAGAAAAGGAAGUUGGAGGAAGGGCAUUAACCUAAUACGUUAGUGUUUGACGUACCGACAGA
rnacentral:rRNA from 1 species